AUCAUGCAUGCUUGAGUCAAAUUAGCCAUAUAUAUAUGUAUGUAUGUGUGUGUGUGUGUGUGUGUGUAUGGUAUAUAUAUAUAUAUAUAUAUAUAUAAAUAUAUAUAUAUAUAUAUA
rnacentral:miRNA from 1 species